UUUUUUUUUUUUUUUGGUCUUUUUACCAUUUCUAGGGCCACUCCCACGGCAUAUGGAGGUUCCCAGACUAGGGGUCUAAUCGGAGCUGCAGCCACCGGCCUACUCCAGAGCCACAGCAACUCGGGAUCCGAGCCGCAUCUGUGACCUACACCACAGCUCAUGGCAACGCUGGAUCCUUAACCCACUGAGCAAGGCCAGGGAUUGAACCCGCUACCUCAUGGUUCCUAGUUGGAUUCGUUAACCACUGAGCCACGACAGGAACUCCAGUGUACAGCACUAUUAAUAGCUUGAGUGUAGCCCAAUAUGACCCUUUUUGGACUCCUCACAUCCAGCCAUGUAAGAUAACAUAAUUAUGUCAUUUUAAGUCACUAAAUUUCAACAACAGGAAACUAAUACAUGCUGUGAUCUGAGAGAAAGAUGAAGAAGACUUUUGCCUGUGUAGAAAGUAAGGAUCUGUAAAAAUGUGAGGCUCCAGAAGAGCAGUUGAUGCUUUUUGGAGAGUGGCAGGAGUGUGAUAUUAUUAUGUAAAAUUGUAUAGGGUAGUGGGAAAAAAUUAGUAGAUAUUAGGAAACAAAUUAGGAGAUAUUAAUGCAAUGUUAUUUAACAACCAUUCUGUUCUAUUGCAUUGAAUUUGAAUAAUACUUAAAAAAAAAUCUCCAGUUCUAUACUUGGUCUUUAUAUUCAAAGGUAAUGGGUAAUCAAGAAGGGAGUCUGCUUAAGUGUCACUCCUCGUACAUAUAUAGGAGCUAUUUCAGCAAGUCUAUUAUUCAAUCUUUCUAUUAUUCAUUUAUUCCACAAAUAUCUACUCAGCACCACUAUGUACAUUAGGCUAGGUACAGAAAAAUGCAAUGAUCAAAGAACUAUGAUGAUAAUAAUAACAUUAAUGCAAUCUUCAUGGUUCUCCUAAUAGGCAAGAAACUACUCAAAGUGUUAGGACAAGGAAAGGGAAAGAAAAAGUUUUCGUGAUUCUAUAGAUUUCUUUAUGAGAGAGAAGGGAAAGAGAGAAAGAGAAACUACCAGAGUCACUCAGGGUCCCACAGCUUAGAAAUAAUCACAAGUAAAUUACAUUUUCGUCUUGGUUUCAUCACUUCCAGCCUUUUGCUGAUGCAUACAUGCAUGUUAUACAUCAUGUGGGAUACAUAUUAUUUCUUCAUAGAAAGUAGAUUAUAUAUAGUCUCAGGAGAUGCCAUGUGGAGAGGGGCAGCUAGUAUAAUGGGGGAUCAAAGAAAGCCUCCAAAAAGGCUGCUCUCUACCCACAUUUGGGGGUAAUACUUAAGCUGAAUUCUGCAGGAUGAGGAGAGACUGGCGAGACCAAAGAGAUGGAGGGAGGGAGGAAUGUGAUAAAGAGAACAGCACAAGCAAAAGUUCAGAGACAGAAGGAACACUGAGCCUUGCCCGAAAACUAAGUAGAACACAACCACUGGAGCCCUGGGAGAGAGGCGUGCAGGGAGAGAGGGGUGUGCAGGGAGAGGGGCGUGCAGGGAGAGGGGCGUGCAGGGCGUGGUAGGAAGGUACCAGGCAGAGGAGGCCCAUGCAGUCCAGGGUCACAGUGAAGACUUAUUUCCAGGUCAGUGAGAAGCCACUGAAGGCUUCAACUAGGGAGGUUCCAAGAUCAGGUUUAUGGGUUUUUUGUUGUUGUUGUUUUUUGGGCCGCACCCUUGGCAUAUGGAAGUUCCCAGGAUGGGGGCUGAAUCAGAGCUGUAGCCACUGGCCUAUACCACAGCCACAGCAACACUCGAUCCCAGAUCUGAGCCACAUCUGCGACCUACACCAUAGCUCACAGCAAUGCUGGAUCCUUAACCCACUUAGCUAGGCCAGGCAUUGAACCUGCAUCCUCAUGGAUGCCAGUCAGAUUUGUUUCUGCUGAGCCCUGACGGGAACUCCCAGGUUUAUGUUUUUAACCCCCGACUCUACUUGGCACAGAGAGACUGUGAGACAGGUGUGUUCAGUACAAGAAACUUAGGGGAAAAAAAAAACCUGUGAUGAACAUCAGAUUCAGGGAGAUGGGAGGCUUGUUAACAAGUCUCAACUCCCUUACUAAGUAAAAAUCGUGGUUGUCAUUUACUUAGAGGUUACUGUGUGCCAGGCACUCUUUGGAAGUGUCUCACUUAUAAUGACUCCAAGACAUCUACUCUGUGAGGUAGGAAUCAUUACUAGUCCCAUUUUAAAGAAAACAAAAACAAAAACAAAACGGAGGCUCAGCACGGUUAUGCCUCUUGCCUCCAACCACUGAGCUAAUAAGUUACAGGGCUGGGGUUUAAUCCAGGCAGCCUGUUUUCAGAGUCUGUACCUUGUAGCCUCUUGUGACGUGCUGCACGUCCCGGGAAGUGGCAAACACAGUCCUCCCCUGCCAGACAAACAAAUGGUGACUCAUGGGGCCACCCACAUCUGUAAACCAAGGCUUGUGUCAAGUCCUUCUGGUUCUAAUAUUACAAUUUUGUCUGGAAAACCAAGAUUUCUGCAUCCUGUCCUUUGCUUGGUAAGAGUCUUUGGAGCCUGAGAGGAGUGGCCACAGUCCUGGAUAUGGCCAGACUUUGAAUCUAGCUCAGAGUCCCCAAAGAUGCAAGUAGAUGUCUACACUCCAUAUGUUUUUCUCUCUAAUUUCAAGGCCUGCUCUACUGCACCCACCCCCUUCCCCAGACAAAUCAUCGCACGGCCAUCCUCCAGGACUCCAGUCCGAACCCGGAUGAAACCAAGAUGUAAAUGAAUCCUGUUUAUUUCUGUGCGACUUUUAUAAAAAUCUAUUUCUCUCUUCAUGUUUUACUUUUGGAUUUCACAUAAAAAACAUGUGUUAGUUAUUUAAUUAGACAAAAACACAUAUAUAUAUUUUUUUUCUUUUUACAGCCACACCCCAGCCAUAUGGAAGUUCCUGGGCCAGGGAUUGAAUCAGGCCUACACCACAGCCACAGCAACACCGGAUCUGAGCCACUCUGUGACCUGUGCUGCAGCUUGCAGCUAUGCCGGCACCUUAACCCACUAAGAGAGACCAGGGAUCAAACCUGCAUCCUCACAGAGACAACAUCAUGUCCUUAAUCUGCCGAGCCACAACAGGAACUCCCAUAUAUAUUUUUUAAAAUAUGUUCUUAUCAGGUGUCUAUGUAUUUUAGCACUCUCCUCAAUGGUUAGUAUCCAAAGAUUUAAUUCAGUAAUUUUUUUUUAAUUUGGCUCCUUGAGUUAACAUUUAAUUUACAAAAGAUCUAAACUGAAAAUAGGCCAGGAUAUAUACCUUGUAAGUCAGAAGUCAAUAAAAUUACAAAACGUUGGCAAGAUUUUCAACAUCAUCUAGCCCACUGAUUUUCAGACUGUCUCCUAAAUCUUAGAGUUGGGGAGAUAAGCCUUUGGGGCAAAGGGGAGAUUAAACAGGUAUGGAUCUAGAUCCCCUCAUCUUUCUUUAAUCAAAAUAGCUUCUCUUUUAUCUUCUCUUUUGAAUAAAAGGAAUGUCUCUUGCUCCAGAAUAUAUCUGAAUUCCAUUUGCUUCUUUCCAUCUCAGUUGCCAUCUGUCUAAUUGAAACAUCAUCACCUCUGUACUAGAUUUUUUUUUUUUGUCUUUUUAGGGCUGCACCCAUAGCAUAUGGAGGUUCCCAGGCUAGGGGUCAAAUCCAAGCUGUGGCUGCUGGCCUACACCACAGCCACAGCAACGCAGAAUCUGAGUCACAUCUUCGAACCACACCACAGCUCAUGGCAAUGCCAGAUCCUUAACCCACUGAGCAAGGCCACGGAUGGAACCCGCAACCUUAUGGUUCCUACUCAGAUUCUUUUCUGCUGUACCACGACGGGAACUCCUGUACUAGAUUAUUGUCAUAACGUCGCUAUCUAGUUUCCUUGCUUCCACUGUAGGCUCUUUCUCCAAUUUAACCUUAUACCACUCCCAGUCUAUACUUCACUUCCAGUUCUCAAGUCACAUUUGUUUUUUAUUUAUCCUGUAAACAUACCUAUAUAAGCCAAAAUAGGGUAGGAUAUGCUUAGAUAACAAACAACCCCAAAAUAGCAAUGAUUUCAUAAAAUUAUUAUUUCUCCUUCAUAUCAGAGUCUGAUAAGCUCUCCUCCAAGAAGUAACUCAGGGAUCCCGGCUAAUUCCGUUUUGCAACAUUACUAUUUUCAACACUUGGCAUUCACGACUGCCAUGGAAAAGGAAAGGUGGGAGGGUUGCCCAGCCCUGGAAAUGGAACAAAGAUCAUUGGCCAGAAUUCAGUCACAAGACCUCAAUCUAAUUAUAAAAAAGCCUGGGAGAUAGAAUCUUCUGGUAUUCACAGAAAAGGGGGAAAUGAUGUGGGAGCUGGCAAACAAUUGAUGGACGCAUAACUUGAUCUCUGUCGUACUAACUCAAGACAAUUGCAUUUUGCUACUUUUUCAUGGCAUAAUCUUGUUUAUUUGUUUGUUUUUUGUUGUCAUUUUUGUUUUGCUUUUAAGGGCUGCAAGUGUGGCAUAUGGAAUUUCCCAGGCUAGGGGGUAGACACUGGCCUACGCCACAGCCAUAGCAAUAUCAGAUCCAAGCUGAGUCUGCAACCUACACCACAGCUCAUGGCAAUGCCUGAUCCUUAAUCCUUGAGUAAGACCAGGAAUCGAACUGGUGUCCUCAUGGAUGUGAGUUGGGUUCGUUACUGCUGAGCCACAAGGGGAACUCCUUCAUGGCAUACUCUUUCUAUAGGCUUUUGCAUAGCUGAAUUCUUCUUUCAAGUUUAAGCUUUGUUUUAAUCUCUGAGAAGCCUUCUUCAAUCACUUUCACCUGAAACUAACACAACACUAAAUCAACUCUAAUAAAAAAAAAUGAAAGUUAAAAAAACAAAUAAGGGCAAGGCAAAGGAGGAGAGUCCCAGGGUGUGUGAUCCGAUUGGUUGAUGGUACAGUAAAGUAAAAAGGCAUUUAAGUCCUUACAAGUAUUUCCCGCCAGACUCCCGAGGGGAUGUGUUCAUUUCUCCCAUUCAGUGGGGGUUUUAACAUCUGUAAAACAACUCAGUAGAUGUGUAUCAGAUACCAUUUUCUAGGUACGUCAGAGAGGAGCUACAGCAGAGGGUAUGGGGGAGGGGUCUGUCCCAGGAAGGCCCCACUGUGUCCUGCUCAAUUACAAAUUCAUGAAAUGAUGAUGAUUGCACUGAAUCUUUACUGCUUUUGCAGAGCCCUUUCCCCUUCCUAAUAGAAACAUGAUUUCUUUCCCUGGGAUGGACUCCUCAACAGUGCUUAGAUGAUGAUGGGGAGUUUCCAAUGUGGCUCAGUGGGUUAAGAACCUGACAUGGUGUCCAUGAGGAUGUGGGUUCAAUCCCUGGCCUUGCUCAGUGGCUUAGAGAUCCAGUGUUGCCACAAGCUGCGGCAUAGGUCUAAGAUGCACCUCAGGUCUGGUGUUGCUGUGGAUACAGCUCUGAGUUGACUCCUAGCCUGGGAACUUCCAUAUGUCACAGGUGCAUCCCAAAAAAGAAAUGAAAAAAUAUAUAUAUAGGAGUUACCAUUGUGGCACGGUGGAAACGAACCUGACUAGGAACCAUGAGGUUGCAGGUUCGAUCC
rnacentral:lncRNA from 1 species